AUUUAACUAUUAAUUAAGGACUUUGAAAGCCCCUAAAGGUAAUCAUAUACCGGUUAAAUU
rnacentral:tRNA from 1 species